rnacentral:rRNA from 1 species
UGGGCCAUUACUGACGCUCAUGGACGAAAGCCAGGGGAGCGAAAGGGAUUAGAUACCCCUGUAGUCCUGGCCGUAAACGAUGAACACUAGGUGUCGGGGGAAUCGACCCUUUCGGUGUCGUAGCUAACGCGUUAAGUGUUCCGCCUGGGGAGUACGCACGCAAGUGUGAAACUCAAAGGAAUUGACGGGGGCCCGCACAAGCGGUGGAGUAUGUGGUUUAAUUCGAUGCAACGCGAAGAACCUUACCAGGGUUUGACAUCCUGCGAACCUCUUAGAAAUUUGAGGGUGCCUUCGGGAAUGCAGUGACAGGUGGUGCAUGGCUGUCGUCAGCUCGUGUCGUGAGAUGUUGGGUUAAGUCCCGCAACGAGCGCAACCCACGUUUUUAGUUGCCAGCAUUUAGUUGGGCACUCUAGAAAGACCGCCGGUGAUAAACCGGAGGAAGGUGUGGAUGACGUCAAGUCAUCAUGCCCCUUACACCCUGGGCUACACACGUACUACAAUGCUACGGACAAAGGGCAGCAAACUCGCGAGAGCUAGCAAAUCCCAUAAACCGUGGCUCAGUUCAGAUCGUAGGCUGCAACUCGCCUACGUGAAGUAGGAAUCGCUAGUAAUCGCAGGUCAGCAUACUGCGGUGAAUACGUUCCCGGGCCUUGUACACACCGCCCGUCACACCAUGGAAGUUGGCCAUGCCCGAAGUCGUUACUCCAACCCUUGUGGAGGAGGACGCCGAAGGUGGGGCUAAUGACUGGGGUGAAGUCGUAACAAGGUAACC